GGAAUGCAAUGGCCAGCAAUGCAGUCCUGUACCAUCCCUCCUUGCUGGUAGGAAGAAGUCAGAAUUUAAGAGGCUCACCAAUGAAUUCGAUCUCAACAUUAACAUGUAAAAACCCCGCAUUCCGAAAUCCAAGCUCUAACACCCAGAGGAAGCAGGGAAAUGCAACACAGGACCUGACAUUUUGCAUUGACUGGAUGCCCUACUGCGGAGCAAGAAUCAAAGGAGAAUUCCAGAAUAAAUUUUUCUAAAGCCUCUAGCUGACUUACCAU
rnacentral:lncRNA from 1 species